rnacentral:rRNA from 1 species
CCUACGGGUGGCAGCAGUGGGGAAUAUUGCACAAUGGGCGCAAGCCUGAUGCAGCCAUGCCGCGUGUGUGAAGAAGGCCUUCGGGUUGUAAAGCACUUUCAGCGGGGAGGAAGGCGGUGAGGUUAAUAACCUCAUCGAUUGACGUUACCCGCAGAAGAAGCACCGGCUAACUCCGUGCCAGCAGCCGCGGUAAUACGGAGGGUGCAAGCGUUAAUCGGAAUUACUGGGCGUAAAGCGCACGCAGGCGGUCUGUCAAGUCGGAUGUGAAAUCCCCGGGCUCAACCUGGGAACUGCAUUCGAAACUGGCAGGCUAGAGUCUUGUAGAGGGGGGUAGAAUGCCAGGUGUAGCGGUGAAAUGCGUAGAGAUCUGGAGGAAUACCGGUGGCGAAGGCGGCCCCCUGGACAAAGACUGACGCUCAGGUGCGAAAGCGUGGGGAGCAAACAGGAUUAGAUACCCCGGUAGUC